AAAAGAGAGAGAGUGAGUUCGGUCGUCUCGUCUUCUCUUCUUCGUCUCCAUCCAUUCCACCGUCUGCUGAGUCAGUGUGCCCGCCAGCUCUAAUUUCUUGAUUGACGCGCGCCAUAGAGCAGAGCAAUGAUCGUCAGUUCACUGAGGAGAUGCUCACUUUGCCUGAGUUCUCAUUCAACGAUCCCCAUACACUCUCCCCUCCCAUAUCCGCCAUUGCUGCUACUGAUUCCGCUGAGAUUCUUGUCGGUUAAUCCAAAUGAAGAAGACUCUCCCACAUUGUCACUCCUCGUCGAAACUCUCGGAUUUACGCCGGAGGCUGCCCUGUCAGUUUGCGGGAAGCUCCGGACAAACAACUCUGAGAAUGUGGGUUCCGUGAUUAGCUUCUUCAAGGGCCGCGGUUUCACGGCGGAUCAAAUCCGCUCGAUGGUUAGGAGGUUUCCCGAGAUACUACGGCAGCAUCCUGAGAGGAACCUUCUGCCCAAACUCGAGUUCUUGGGAUCCAAAGGGUUGCUGGGACCUGAUCUCGGGGAGUUCAUAUCUUCACAUCCAGUCAUCUUGAAGAGGAGCUUAGAGAGGUUCAUAAUCCCUAAUUUCAACUUCUACCGGACCAUACUUGAGUCUGACAAGAGGGCUGCAUCCCCUAACAUUGCAAUCGCUCCUAAUAUGAGGUAUCUUUUAGACAACGGAGUGUCCAAAUCGAAUAUUGCCGCUCUAUUACACCGCGACGACACUGUGCUCCAUUCUAGUCGGGCUAGGUUGAGGGAGGCGAUGCGGGUUCUGAAAGAAAUGGGCCUUGAUCCCAAAAAGUCGACGUUUCAGCAUGCUUUAAUGGCGGUACUCAGGAUGUCCAAAUCCAGUUGGGAGAGUAAGGCGAGACUUUAUCGGAAUUGGGGUUGGAGCGAGGCAGAGCUUCUUUCUGCUUUUCGGAAAUACCCGCUCUGUAUGGCCGUGUCUGAGGAUAAAAUCAAUCGGGUUAUGAGCUUUUUCGUGGACAGGAUGGGAUGGAGGCCUUCCCUGAUUGCUGAGCAUCCCAUCCUUUUGACGCAGAGCUUGGAGAAGAAAACCAUCCCGAGGGCUUUGGUUCUCCAGUUCCUGCAUUCUAAAGAUAUGUUCGAGAAACAUUAUAGCUUGGCCCACUUUUUCAAGAUGUCUGAGAAGGCCUUCUUGGAGAGGAUUGCUAGAUACCAAGAGGCAGCUCCUCAUAUCUUGGCGAUCUAUAAAGAUGAGAUGAACAAACCGAGAUGAGAAGGGUAUGAUUGCAUGAUGAAAAUAUUCGAGGAGCUUGUUCUGUUUUGUGAUAGGAAGUUGUUGCUCCAUCAAAGUUGUUGCAUAAAGCAAAAUGGAGGCUGCAGGAUAUUCUUUUUGUGUAAUCUUCAUUGGUGUAGGCGAGGUUUUCAAUGAAGAGUUGGCGCACAAUUGGAUAAUCUGACCAAGAUAAUCAGAAAUUAGAGAUAUAGUCGAGGAACCUUGUGUAGCUCAGUGGAGCUGAAGAUAGGCCCUCAGAGAGAGCUCGGGGAAAUUGCCAAGAGGGAAGGCUGUUCUGCCGUUGAAGCCUUUGUCAAGAGAAAUCGGAUCGGUUACAAGAUCUGCUGUUAAAAUUCACAAUGAUGCAUAAGGUAAGAUAAUGAAGAUUAGAUUUUGGAAUUUUUCCGAAUGCUUCAUUGUUUGCUUUACAUAUUUGAACGAAAAUGUAUCAAUUACAAAAGGGAUAUUUGGGAAGUUAUUGACUGAAGAUCUCAGCAUAAUGGAAUGGUUCCACCCUCGUGCUGAUAUAAUCCCUAAAGUUUCAGCUUUCA